rnacentral:misc_RNA from 1 species
GUAGCAUCUGCAGCAGACAAAUUCUACCACUUGAUUAAAAGUUGAGACACCUGAAGAUAACCCCUCAAGGCCAUCCUAUGUCAGCAUCUUUUCUAAUGUUUACAGCUAUAUGAUAGGUUUCGAAGAAGUAUUUUCUCACCAGAAUGCGUAAGGGUUCAAACAUCCACACAUGAUUCAAUUUCAUUAAGGCUAAAAUAAUGACCAGGACACCCAUACUUGGGUUUCCAAGAAAGCAAGUUCCCCAGGAAGGCUCAACCAAAAGCAUAAAAUUGUCUAACAGUUCUUGUGUCUAGCCCAAAGAACUCUCUGCUCUACUACCGCUGGAUUAUUUGUGUUGUUGACAUGCUUUUUUCCUGCUCCGAUUGGUGCUUCAAUCUUUCCUUUAUUUUUCCUUUAAUUAGAAUAGGAUGAGAAGGGGCAGAAAGAUCAAUCUGCAUGUUUGCUAAUGUAUUUUAAGCAACUUAAUUAUAAAAUCAAAUCCAAGAAUCUCUGUGUGCCAUGCCAGACAGAGGUGCAAUUCUGCAAAUAAAUGACAUAUACAUUAAUUGUGGAGAGGCAUCAUAUGUUGUGAAUA